CGUGGUUCGCUCGCGACCUCCCUCCUACCCGCAACACCACCAAGCACCAACUCGCUCCCACUUCAGCUCACUUGCGGUACGGUCCGGCAAGACGGCAACUGACCCGAGCCCGUGCGUAUUACUGCGUAUUCGAACGCUACGUAUAAGUCAUAUUUCUUUUGUGGGUGUGCCGUACCAUGAAUGACAGUCUCUAGUGACAUUUUUAAAGUAUAGACUAGCGAUUGCUGUGAUGCCAGAAAUAUUGACAAGUGAUUGCUGUGAUACCGUGAGUUGGGGAGCGCGUGUCAUUCCUGAAGGGAGUAGUUCUGGAUCUCAAAGGCAUCGUCUCCGGUGAAAAGUUUCACUGAGGCAUCCAACAGACUACCUGGCCCAGAUUACUUCCGCUGUCGUACGAGAAGAGUCCCUCUUCACAGUUUUGCAUUAAGGACACUCACGGGGCGUGGUUUCCAUUUAUUCAACUUGCAACGGUCCCAUUUGGCCUUCGUCACCGGCUUUGCCAAGCAAGAAACUAAAGUUCAACUGUAUCCAGCAUUCCUAU